rnacentral:rRNA from 1 species
GCAGCGCGGGAGCAAUCCUGGCGGCGAGUGGCGAACGGGUGAGUAAUGCAUCGGAACGUGCCCAGUGGUGGGGGAUAGCCCGGCGAAAGCCGGAUUAAUACCGCAUACGACCUACGGGUGAAAGCGGGGGACUCGCAAGAGCCUCGCGCCAUUGGAGCGGCCGAUGUCAGAUUAGGUUGUUGGUGAGGUAAAGGCUCACCAAGCCGACGAUCUGUAGCUGGUCUGAGAGGACGACCAGCCACACUGGGACUGAGACACGGCCCAGACUCCUACGGGAGGCAGCAGUGGGGAAUUUUGGACAAUGGGCGCAAGCCUGAUCCAGCCAUGCCGCGUGCGGGAAGAAGGCCUUCGGGUUGUAAACCGCUUUUGUCGGGGAAGAAAUCCCUUGGGCUAAUACCCCGGGGGGAUGACGGUACCCGAAGAAUAAGCACCGGCUAACUACGUGCCAGCAGCCGCGGUAAUACGUAGGGUGCAAGCGUUAAUCGGAAUUACUGGGCGUAAAGCGUGCGCAGGCGGUUGUGCAAGACAGAUGUGAAAUCCCCGGGCUCAACCUGGGAACUGCAUUUGUGACUGCACGGCUGGAGUGCGGCAGAGGGGGAUGGAAUUCCGCG